rnacentral:rRNA from 1 species
UACGGAGGGGGCUAGCGUUGUUCGGAAUUACUGGGCGUAAAGGGCGUGUAGGCGGUUUGCCGAGUCAGACGUGAAAGCCCCGGGCUCAACCUGGGAGGUGCGUUUGAUACUGGCGGGCUUGAGGUUGGGAGAGGAGAGUGGAAUUCCCAGUGUAGAGGUGAAAUUCGUAGAUAUUGGGAAGAACACCAGUGGCGAAGGCGGCUCUCUGGCCCACACCUGACGCUGAGGCGCGAAAGCGUGGGGAGCAAAC